ACGACCGCAUCGAUUGUGUUGUAUUUCACAUUUCUCGUUCAGUUUUGUUUUGGUUGUUUUCUAUUUUCGUUUGACAGUUCUUGUGCUUGUGUGUUGGUUAAAGACAUCGUAACGCAAAUCUACCAUUAAUGGAAAAGAGUAACGCGUUGGCAGUGUUGCCGAAUAUUAGUACAACAUAAUUAAUUUUGAAAAAUCAAAAUCAAUUUUAUGUUGAUUUGUUUUUGUUUCAAUGGAGAACCCCAUGCUUAGUAAAAAUGAAUGGUUUCAUUCAUUUUUUUCACUGGGAUGGAGGGGUAUUUGUAACCGUUGGUCCCAAUUUAUAGCUUGCCGGCUCUGCCGUAAGUUUCCCAUGUCUUUCCAUGACCUGCCAGUAAGCCCCUUUUACCCAUUCCUUUACCUACAAAACAAAUAGAGAGCCUUACUGGUGGCGUAAACCCCGCUGUCUAUACUCAAAAAUAAAAGAUUCGACAACGUCAUCUACAAUUAAUUAGUACACGUCUCAAUCGCUCUCCCUGGUACGGUCCGAACUGUGGUUUGAGCAAAAACAUAAGGCGUUACGACUUGUGUUGACCUAAUAAUGACCCUGCGCAUAGUGGGUGACAGACACGACGAAGUGUCACUGUCAAACUUCGGCCCUUCGUCGGACUUCUUAUUGGAUAGGCCGGGGUAGAUACUACCGAAUCAAGGGGAUUCAUCCUCUUUGCCGUCCGAGUCUCGGAGAAACCAGUAGUGCGCGCUAGAGUGUCCCAACUAAAGUUUUUUAUAGAAACCGCGUGGUGUAUAUUUGAGUAGUUAGUGCUUUUUGUGGUUAAAUCUAAAAGUUUGAAGAGUUAGUGUUAGAAAAGUAUUAGUACGAUUUUGACAGAUUCGAGUUCAAGUGAAAACCUAAAACUACACCGCUGUAUAAGGAGAAGCAAGAAGAAAAGGUCCAGAUUCGGGCCUUUUCUUUUCACCCACACUCCUGUGGCUAAGCCCGGAGGAUUUCUUUUCACCACCAGUGAACGCCAGGACACUUGGUCAGCGGCCGAGAGAACAAACGCCGGUAACGCCGGUUCACCCUUGCAAACGGGCAACGAAAGUGCCACCCCGUUGCGCCAUUUUGGAGAUCGGCCAUUGGGAUAGUUCGGCGGCCAUCUUCAACCAAGCACUCGCCAUCACCGUGUGAGUCCCGUGGAAAGAGAAUCCACUGCCACUUCAUCGGCACUAGCCAACACCCCGGCGCGGGUUUACGUUGGUCACCCCCAACGAUUCCAAGGCCAUCGAUCGGUCCAGGAUCAACCGUAGCCCAGCUGGCGGGCCCUUGUCCACCCAGCAAGGUACAACGCUACACCGCUGUGAGGGGACCCAUCCCUGCAACCGUCCAAACCGCCUAUCGCCGCCACCACCGCCCAGGCCCAGGUCCGGCCAAGGCCUAACCGUGAAUGGCCCUGGUGUUCCAUUGGAGAUAGCCAUUCCUCCCCGAGUCACCCGUGGAUCCACAACGACCGCCAGAUCAAAACGGCAAGUACCAUGUAACCGUCUCUCAACAACACCCAAAUCGUCCCUAAAAUGGGUCAAUAAAACCUAGAUAUGUAAGCUCAAUUGGCCUUUAGCCUUAUUUAGCCAACGCACUCCCUGCUUGUAUAUACACCACUUUCUUUUCCGUACCCACAAGUGGUCUUCAACCCUACUGCUCGAUAAGUUGCUAUAAAAUUUGACUUCACCUUGAUUCCUUUCGCUUCGGUCCUUCUAAUGGUCUGUUUACCAUUCAGCUGUCAGGGAAAAUAACAGAUAAACUCCCACACCGAAGGUAAGUGACUGGUGAUGCAGUGAUAGAGGCGGUACUAAUUAAUGAGACGACCCUGAGAUCGGCAAAAUUCCCACCUUUUUCCCCCCCUGAGCAGCCGAGAG